rnacentral:lncRNA from 1 species
AUAAGCUUGUUGAAGUGCUUCUCGAGAAAGAAACUAUUGGAGGCGACGAAUUCCGGGCGAUUCUCUCUGAGUAUACUGAAAUCCCACCGGAAAACCGGGUUCCUACCUCAACAACAGCAACUCCAACCUCAACACCAACACCAGCUUCUGUCUAAAAUGAUAAUGAAUCUGUAUACUUGUGAUACUUAAUUCUUCUGUAAAUUUAUUUUAUUGUCAAACUCGAGCUCUAGGAUG